UACGUAAAAGACAAGUGUUAUUCAUCUUUAAUAGGUUUAAAGGGUACCUAGACGGUAUUAUUAGCCCAAAAAAAGGGUACGAUUAUACUAGAGUUUUUAUAGGAGAAGGGAAGAAUUUAUGGAGGAGAGUUUAUAUUUCAUUAUACCUUAAAGACUGGUAAAGGCGAAAAGCAACCUUUCGAUCUAGUAACUGACGUUUGAGGUACGAAGGCCUGGGUAGCAAACAGG
rnacentral:rRNA from 1 species